rnacentral:rRNA from 1 species
GGAUUAGAUACCCUGGUAGUCCUCGCCGCAAACGAUGCAUACUAGGUGUAAUUGGUUUCAACCCCAGUUUUGCCUGAGCUAACGCGUUAAGUAUGCCGCCUGGGAAGUAUGCCCGCAAGGGUGAAACUCAAAAGAAUUGACGGGGACCCGCACAAGCAGUGGAGCAUGUGGUUUAAUUCGAUGCAACGCGAAGAACCUUACCUGGGCUUGACAUGUAGGAGAUCGCUUCGGAAACGAAGUUUUCCUUUCGGGGACUGCUACACAGGUGCUGCAUGGCUGUCGUCAGCUCGUGCCG